rnacentral:piRNA from 1 species
UUCUUUCUUGGAGAAGAAGAGCUGGUGUC